GACGAACGCUGGCGGCGUGCCUAAUACAUGCAAGUAGAACGCACAGUUUAUACCGUAGCUUGCUACACCAUAGACUGUGAGUUGCGAACGGGUGAGUAACGCGUAGGUAACCUGCCUGGUAGCGGGGGAUAACUAUUGGAAACGAUAGCUAAUACCGCAUAAUAUUGAUUAUUGCAUGAUAAUUGAUUGAAAGAUGCUAUUGCAUCACUACCAGAUGGACCUGCGUUGUAUUAGCUAGUAGGUGAGGUAACGGCUCACCUAGGCGACGAUACAUAGCCGAGCUGGAAGGGUGAUCGGCCACCCUGGGACUGGGACACGGCCCAGACUCCUACGGGGAGCAGCAGUAGGGAAUCUUCGGCAAUGGACGAAAGGCUGACCGAGCAACGCCGCGUGAGGGAAGAAGGUUUUCGGAUCGUAAAGCUCUGUUGUAAGAGAAGAACGGGUGUGAGAGUGGAAAGUUCACACUGUGACGGUAUCUUACCAGAAAGGGACGGCUAACUACGUG
rnacentral:rRNA from 1 species